UGGCAGGAACCAGGGGUAACCACAAAAGGGUCGGUCCUGAUGGCAGUGGGUGCGAGCGCUGUCGUUGAUCUCAGGGAUGUGUGGGGUGAUGUGCUGUAUACCUGUGUAGUCAAAACUGUUGAUCCACAGACCUGAGUCCCGGAUUUCCACUUGGCCCUGGAGAUUGUAGAAGGUCCGCGUUGUAUGCUGCAGGGAAUUACUUAAUGGAGCUUAACAUGAGCAGGUGGAGGGGUCGAAUCAGAGCGAGUUUUCUAGAUCAGGAAAACAGGUGUGGAGAGUGCAGGCUGGAGCUACACUGCAGGAUGUUCCUUUGUCAACCAUGAAAGAGUCCUCCAUUUAAGAAAGGAUAGUUUCAUGAAGACUCGUUUGGGCCGCGGGCUGUCUGGACUUCCUGAAUAAGGAAAGAGGAGCCCACUGGACACCAACAUGAACGUGACAAUGAAGACUGAGCCCAGACCAGCCAGGAUCCACUUAGUGCUCCGUGCCAAGUAGAUGAAAUGCAGCUGAGACAGACAGAAAAAUAUGUUACUGGCGUGGAGGAACAAUCGACACUGCAGUUGCACAUUUUUGGUGAAAUGGUAGAUUAUCUAAAAAAAACUAAUCUACCAUCUGCAAGAUUUACAUUACUUUACAUUACUCAGUCAGCUUUAAACAGCUGUUGGUUUUCUUAUCUGAAGUCAAGUAACUAAUGUUAGUAAAUGCUCAAACAAAACACUGCUGCCAUCAACUUGACCAAAUUGUUUGAUCAUGUGUACUCUGUCCUGCAUACACUCCCCAAUUCACAACCAAUGUGAUUUUAAGGUAAUUCUGCUGACAACAAAAAUCCAGAUUUGUUGUUCUUAAUGUGGCCAUACUCACAAAAAAGGAGGAGAGGAAGAUGGUUGCCAGGGUGACCAGGAAUGCCAUCACCAGCUCAGGCCAUUCUAUGUUGCCGCGACCCAUGAUGGGUGUGAAAAUCUCAAACACCACCCAGAUGAGGAACAUGAAGUGGACAUACGGCAACGCCAGGCCAAACAGAUAGAGCACAGUGUACUUCAAGGACACUCCUGUAGAAAAACAGAGAUCAACGUGAACACGGCAAGGAUCAGAUCAUUUAUUUAAUUAUACAACACAAGACUGUACAAUGAAAUGAAAGU